UGAACUUUUGUUUUCGGUUUCUGCAAAUAUUUGAUAUCUGGUCUGGACAUUUUUUGCCCCAAAAACCGAUAACUGGCGGUUAUUUUUCGGUUCGGCUCUCUUUUUGGUGUCUGCUAGAGUUGCUCUUACAGGAGAGCAUACGACAAAAAAAAAUUAAAUGCGCGUAAUAAAAAAAAUGAUGAUCAAUUCUAGCUCUUAUAAGAUUAGAAAACAAAUGCGCGCAAUUACGCGACAAUAAAUAUAUGCAAAAACUAAAUACAAGUACCUUCGAUUUCAAUAAAAAAAAAUUAUGAAUGAAUAUCCGUGCAGGUAAUAUCUUAAUUUUCAAUAAAAACUAAUAAAAUGAGAAAUAAAAUCUCGGCGUCAAUGGAUGCAAUAAAUCUUCGAUUUGAAGCAAGAAGUAAUGCGCAAUAAAAUCUAAAUGCGGCAUCAUUCAAUGGCGAUUGAUUGGCAAUCUUAUCAGAUAGAUAUCAUUUCCGCCACCGCGCCUGCAUUUAAUUCGAUCGAAUGAUAUCGAUCCUACCUGUCCUGCGCCGAGGAAGCUUCGUCCGUAAGCAUCCGAAAAACGCCAGUUUUCUCCUCUCGCCC
rnacentral:lncRNA from 1 species